AGGGGUCCCUGUCGGAUUCCGCUGUGUCGGAUGAGACUCGGACCCUAGCGCGCUAGAAAUAAACUCCCUUCCUGCCUUUUUGCAUUACUGUGGAGGACUUGCUUUCUCUCGGUCGGUUCGGAGAUACGGGCUCGGUGCAUAACACUCUCGAGACAGGGGCUUCCCUUCAGACCCUCUGUCCGCCGAGUCCUGCCGUCCCCAAGCCUCAGACAGCGGUUAAGUCCUGGGAAGAGAGCUGAAGCACAGAGAACGGAGAACAACGAGGGACGGUCGCCCUAGCCCGACACUGCCCCGCGAGCACUGGGACGACCCCACCCCCCACGCCUGCCAGCCAUCCCGCCACUGGGGCACCACGGCCCGAAACUCACUUCUCUUCGUGUCCGCACACCUUUCCAUUCUGCGCCGCACCCCGGGGUGCGACAGCCCCGUGGCACCUGUGGUUUGAGAAUCGCCUUAAGUUUCACCAGGCAUUUGGGGGCGGGAGGACUUUUGGCCACUGUCUGCCCCGCUAUUUCCCUGCCACGACGAUUAGGCUCCAUAGGUAUGUGAAUUUGAUGCCAUCUCUAAUUUUGAGGAGGCUUAUUUUAUUUUGGAUGAGUUUCUUUUGCAGAGAGGAAGUUCAGGAAAUCGAAGAAAAAUGUCCUACAAGCAGUUGACCUGGCAUAUCUACUGCAAGAGAUAUUUUUUAGUUUCUCCUGUAAUCUGUGGUGGUGGAGGAGACUCUUGAGAGCCCCCUGGACUGCAAGAAGAUCCAACCGUCCAUUCUAAAGGAGAUCAGUCCUAAGUGUUC